GAUGAACGCUGGCGGCGUGCCUAAUACAUGCAAGUCGAGCGAACAGAUGAGGAGCUUGCUCCUCUGACGUUAGCGGCGGACGGGUGAGUAACACGUGGAUAACCUACCUAUAAGACUGGGAUAACUUCGGGAAACCGGAGCUAAUACCGAAUAAUAUAUUAAACCGCAGGGUUCAAUAGUGAAGAACGGUUUUGCUGUCACUUAUAGAUGAAUCCGCCCCGCAUUAGCUAGUUGGUAAGGUAACGGCUUACCAAGGCAACGAUGCGUAGCCGACCUGAGAGGGUGAUCGGCCACACUGGAACUGAGACACGGUCCAGACUCCUACGGGAGGCAGCAGUAGGGAAUCUUCCGCAAUGGGCGAAAGCCUGACGGAGCAACGCCGCGUGAGUGAUGAAGGUCUUCGGAUCGUAAAACUCUGUUAUUAGGGAAGAACAAAUGUGUAAGUAACUAUGCACGUCUUGACGGUACCUAAUCAGAAAGCCACGGCUAACUACGUG
rnacentral:rRNA from 1 species